GGCUUUGUGCAGUGGCAGUAUCAUAGCCAAUGAGGUGUAUCUGAGGGGUGAUUAUUGCUAAUUGAAAACUUUUCCCAAUACCCCAUCACGACGACUUGAAAUAUAGUUGGCAUUGGCAAUUUUUUGACAGUCUCUAUGGAGA
ensembl:snRNA U4 U4 spliceosomal RNA